CAGCUAGUUGGUAGGGUAAUGGCCUACCAAGGCUUAGAUCGGUAGCCGGCCUGAGAGGGCGCACGGCCACACUGGAACUGAAACACGGCCCAGACUCCUACGGGAGGCAGCAGUGGGGAAUAUUGCACAAUGGGCGAAAGCCUGAUGCAGCGACGCCGCGUGAGGGAUGACGGCCUUCGGGUUGUAAACCUCUUUCAGCUCCGACGAAGCGAAAGUGACGGUAGGGGCAGAAGAAGCACCGGCCAACUACGUGCCAGCAGCCGCGGUAAUACGUAGGGUGCAAGCGUUGUCCGGAAUUAUUGGGCGUAAAGAGCUCGUAGGCGGCUUGUCGCGUCGGCUGUGAAAACCUGGGGCUCAACUCCGGGCCUGCAGCCGAUACGGGCAAGCUAGAAUUCGGUAGGGGAGACUGGAAUUCCUGGUGUAGCGGUGAAAUGCGUAGAUAUCAGGAGGAACACCGGCGGUGUAGACGGCUCUC
rnacentral:rRNA from 1 species